rnacentral:lncRNA from 1 species
AAAAGCUUUAUGUUGCUUGAUUGAUUUGUGCAACAUUUGUGAACUGUAGGGAGGGACUGUGUCAGGUUUAUAGAAAACCAGGAAGACCUAGCUUCUAUACCCUGCAGUUUGUGGGAAGAGGCCAAGGGACUGAGUGGUCAUAUGAUUUAGUAAGUUCAAUACUAAGGAUAAUGCAAAGUGCUAUGGGCUCUCAAAUGAUGGAGCAAUUGGAACAUUUCAAACUUUUAUUGUAGAUAGUUUAAAUUGUGUAUAGGUAUUGAAGAUAGUUCAGUGAACUAUUUUCAACAAUUCCCACCAUUUUGGAGUAGUUAAUUUUGACUAGAGAAGAGAAUGAGGGGAAGUGCACAAAGAUUUGGCAUUUGGUCUUGAUUGUAAAACAUAAAUAGAAGUUUACCAGGCAUAUAGUAAGUGGAAAGAGAGGGCAAAGAGUUGGAGACAUGAAGUUAAAUGGUUUUUGAAGAACUGUGAAUAGUGUAGUGUGGGUAGAGGGUAGGGUGUCUCAGUGGGAUUGGGAAAAGGUAACUGAGCAUGUGAAGAACCGCAUCGCUAUAGGCUGUAGGAUUUUUGGGGGGGCCAUCACUGAAUUUAACUUUUUAAUCAGGGGAAGUGACGUGACCAAAAGUAGGUUUUAUGGGACUAUUACUGGCCACUGUGAGAAAACUUCAGUUGAGUGGGGGGAAAGAAAACUUGUUGUAAAGUACUUACUUAUGGUUAGAUAGUGAUUGUGGAUUUUAGGAAAAUUCUGCUUCUGCUACUUAAUAGAUGUGUGAUCCUUAGGCAAGAAUUUUUCAGAGACUCAGUUUUCUCAUCUGUAAAGUAAAAGUGAUAAUAGAUGUCCUGUGGGUUAUUGUAUUUUGUGUUAGGGAGAAAAAAAGAAUAUGUGAAAGUACUUGGCAUUGGGUUUCUCGUGGAAGGUGCUCAGUACAAGAUGUGUGUUAUCAUCUUGACAAAGAUAGGUAGUUUAAACUAAGGCUGUGAUUUAGGAAUGAAAGGGUCAUGGGGGAAGAUUUGAGAGUUCUUAAGAAGCCCUUUCCUUGGCUUUCUUGAGAAUCUUAGUAGUUUAGCUUUCUUUUGGUGUCAUAUCUCAAUCUCCUUUGCAAGGAAGCUCUGUUCUAAGCCUUUUUUACUCACUUUGUUCCCAACUUGCAUGCAUACUUGACGGCCUACUUGACUAUUUGGACCUCAAACUGAAUGUAGGCAAACUGAAUUUAUCAGUCUUUAGUGUUCCUUAUCAUAGUAAAUGUCCCUUACCACUUUCCAUGAUAGAAAUCUUGAAAUCAUUCUUGAAGCCUCUUUUUCUUUCUUUUUUGAGACAUAUCUCAGUAUGUUACCCAGGCUGGUUGGAACCCUUGAGCCCAAAUGAUCAUUCCUCCUCAGCCUCCAUAGUGCUUGGAUUAUAGGUAUGUGCCACUGUGCCAGCCUUUUUUCCCUUAAUUUAUUAAGUUCUGAUAGUACCAGAUCUUGUUAUUUCUGUGUUUUAAGUCUCAAAUCCGUUUGUUCCUCUAUUUCCCCACUGUCACCGUCCUAAUUGUAACAUGAUCCUGUCUCUGACUUUUAAAAUGCC